GACUUGAAGCUUGUUUUUCAUCAUGUAUUUCCACAUCAAUGAGUCUCCUCUAUCAACCUUUUUUGCCAUUGGAUGAGCUCUUUGACAGUAUUUGGCUUUAAGAAAUUGACUCCAUAAAGAAACUUUAGACCUGAAAUUCCACCAUUGUUUGUAUUGUAAAGAAGUGUAAAUAUCUUACAGCCUUUUGAUCCCUACCCCACCUUCAGUGUAUG
rnacentral:lncRNA from 1 species